CCUACGGGUGGCAGCAGUGGGGGCUAUUGCACAAUGGGGGGAACCCUGAUGCAGCGACGCCGCGUGGGUGAAGAAGCGCCUCGGCGCGUACAGCCCUGUCAGCAGGGAAGAAAAUGACGGUACCUGAAGAAGAAGCCCCGGCUAACUACGUGACAGCAGCCGCGGGAAUACGUAGGGGGCAAGCGUUAUCCGGAUUUACUGGGGGUAAAGGGGGCACAGACGGCGUUGCAAGACAGGAGUGAAAGCCCGGGGCCCAACCCCGGGACUGCUCUUGGCACUGCGUGGCUGGAGUGCAGGAGGGGCAGGCGGAAUUCCUGGUGUAGCGGUGAAAUGCGUAGAUAGCAGGAGGAACACCGGCGGCGAAGGCGGCCUGCUGGACCGCGACUGACGUUGAGGCUCGAAAGCGUGGGGAGCGAACAGGAUUAAAUACCCUAGUAGUC
rnacentral:rRNA from 1 species